rnacentral:rRNA from 1 species
GGGCCCGCACAAGCGGUGGAGCAUGUGGUUUAAUUCGAUGAUACGCGAGGAACCUUACCAGGGCUUAAAUGUAGUGGGACAGGUCUAGAGAUAGACCCUUCUUCGGACAUUUUGCAAGGUGCUGCAUGGUUGUCGUCAGCUCGUGCCGUGAGGUGUCAGGUUAAGUCCUAUAACGAGCGCAACCCCUAUCAUUAGUUGCCAGCGGGUAAUGCCGGGAACUCUAACGAAACUGCCAGUGCAAACUGUGAGGAAGGUGGGGAUGACGUCAAAUCAUCACGGCCCUUACGUCCUGGGCUACACACGUGCUACAAUGGCCGGUACAGAGAGCAGCCACUUCGCAAGAAGGAGCGAAUCUAUUAAAACCGGUCUCAGUUCGGAUCGGAGUCUGCAACUCGACUCCGUGAAGCUGGAAUC